rnacentral:rRNA from 1 species
UAGUCCACGCCNUAAACGAUGUCGACUUGGNGNNUUGUUCCCUUGAGGAGUGGCUUCCGGAGCUAACGCGUUAAGUCGACCGCCUGGGGAGUACGGCCGCAAGGUUAAAACUCAAAUGAAUUGACGGGGGCCCGCACAAGCGGUGGAGCAUGUGGUUUAAUUCGAUGCAACGCGAAGAACCUUACCUACUCUUGACAUCCACGGAAUUUGGCAGAGAUGCCUUAGUGCCUUCGGGAACCGUGAGACAGGUGCUGCAUGGCUGUCGUCAGCUCGUGUUGUGAAAUGUUGGGUUAAGUCCCGCAACGAGCGCAACCCUUAUCCUUUGUUGCCAGCGAUUCGGUCGGGAACUCAAAGGAGACUGCCGGUGAUAAACCGGAGGAAGGUGGGGAUGACGUCAAGUCAUCAUGGCCCUUACGAGUAGGGCUACACACGUGCUACAAUGGCGCAUACAAAGAGAAGCGACCUCGCGAGAGCAAGCGGACCUCAUAAAGUGCGUCGUAGUCCGGAUCGGAGUCUGCAACUCGACUCCGUGAAGUCGGAAUCGCUAGUAAUCGUGGAUCAGAAUGCCACGGUGAAUACGUUCCCGGGCCUUGUACACACCGCCCGUCACACCAUGGGAGUGGGUUGCAAAAAGAAGUAGGUAGCUUAACCUUCGGGAGGGCG